GGCAUCGUGGCGGCGGCGGCCGGGGCUGGGGCCGCACCGCGCACGCGCCCGGCGCCCCGGCGCCCCCCGGCGGGCGGAGUCCGGAGCCUCCGCCCGGACUCCCCGCCCGGUUCCUCCAACUCUGCGGCGGCGUCUGCACAAAGGUGAUGCGUUUGAAACACCCGCUGCUUUCUUUCCUCGUUUCCUCUCUACUUAGCGGUUCUGCCCUUGUUUGGGCAGGAGUGGGAGGCGGGCAACGUCUUGGGGCCUGCGUGCCCUUUGGGAUAACUUGAACGGUAGGGUCCCAGCAGGGAGAGGAAGCAGGGUAAGAAAAGAGAACCAGAAUCUCCGUUUCCCCACAAAGUCCAACGACCCACUCGCGUAACUCCUUUGUGGGACAGUUGCCCGCCUCUCAGCACGAGCGGGAAAGGCGGGGAGAGCGCGCAACUCGGCGUCUGAACCUGGCGGCGGAGGCUGGCGGUUUGGUCCACACGGACGACAGGCAGCGCCCUCGGGGACCCGGCGAAGGGCCGGAGCAAGCCAGCCCUGCUGCUGCGGGGGCCACGCGGGAGCCACGCGGAGAGACCUUCGACACAAGCACUAUUUUGUUUCGAAAGAAGGAAGGUACUUAUCCGAAAUUUGCUUUCCUGUCACGGUGCCGGGCCCUGAACUGUAGGCGGAGCGCCACCUGAAUUUGCCACGUGAAUUUGGCAGACUUGGGACCAUAAAUUGAAAAACAAGAUACGAAAGUACGCUGCGAUCAAUUAUUGCUGUAUAGAGGACGACUCUUUUGGAAAUUCACAGACCCUUGAAGCCUGUCUGCGAAUCCCACGUUUAGCGCCUCCACUUUGAGAAGAGAAAUGCCAUGACCCUGAGGAUGACACUUUUAAAGUGUAACAGUGACAUCCAGAGCUUACUCAGAUGAGCAGAGAGCUAACGCAUUUCCUUCUGCUCCUGUGUUGAUGAGGACAGAAAAUUCUUCAACCUGUGACUGCUGGGAGAGCAUCGUACUAUUCUUUAUGGUAGAUUAAUCCCAGCACCGUGAGUUCCUGAGGGUGAGGAGUCCAGGGCAAAUCAUGCUGGUCCCUUCUGAUAUUUGCACAGAGGUCAAAUCAGGCUCAAAGAACUAGCUCCCCCUGCCCCACCCCACCACAUCCCACUCCACCCCAAGGGGAUGGGAAGCCUCCAAAUAUCCAGGUGACAUAAAGGCCUGCAGCCUCUGGGAAUUUGCCUUGGUGACUAGGGUAGGGGUCUUCAUGGGUUCAUUUUAAGCCAAACCACUCCCUUUCCCCCUCAGGCUACUUCUCAGAGUCCUUCCUGACCACGAAAUGUAGGACAGAAAAAUCACAAAGCAAUCACCUCCAUUCACCUUCAAGUCAGAGGGACCACUCUUAUCCAGGGCCAGCUUUGUGGGCCAGCCCCACACUCAGUAUAAAGCUCUACUGUCUCCAUCUUGAAAUUCUUACUACUUUUGGAACAAGAGGUUCCAUUUAUUUAUACACUUACAGAUUUUGUGUACAA